rnacentral:lncRNA from 1 species
GGCAACUUCACCGGUGGUCUAUUUUUUGUUCCAAAUAUAUUCCAAAAAUGGACCUGUCAAAAUUAAUUAGACCAGUGAAAAUAGACCAAAUCGCCCGCGUGCGCACCGGUUGUUCUAUUUAUUUAGUUUUCGCGAUCCAUUUGAAAUGUAAACAACGAAAACAAUCAAAAUUAGUAAAUUUUGUGUUUUAACGCGGAAUUGUGAAAUAAUUUUCGAAAAAUAUAGUGCUUCAGACCUUUAUCACGUUUUGUAGACCCGGGAAAAGCUUAAUUCAUCCGGUGCUAGGCUCACAAUAGGUCUUCCCAGUAGUUGGCCUUCCAGUAUACGUAAUAUUUUGGCGAGAAGGAUGUCAUUCUCAAGGUGCUGGAGAAACACGGCGGGAUUUGCGAUUGCCACCGCUAGGUCGUCACGUUCGUAUAUGUUGCCAGCGCUUAUAGCCAUGAAUUGGAAUCAAUAUCACGGAUACUGCCGAUGUCGUGAUGUGGCCGGAAUUGGUCAUCCAGGAAGUGGACAUGUCAAGCGGUAAAAUUCGAGCUGUAAUAGGUGGGAAGGCGCCCGGAGCAGGAAUCGAUUCCAAUUGACAUGAUCCAUGAGACAGCAUUUGGGACUGCCGAAGUUUCGGUACAAAUGAAAGAAAAAUAUUUCGUGGAAGAAUCCGACACAUGGGAAAUGGAAAAGGUGGCUGCCAAAGAACCGAGUGGAGUAGACACUAUGAUCGCUCAGUUUCCAACGUUGGCCCAUAUUGAGGGAUGCUCCCACCAGGACAACGAUUUCAUCGAUUUCGUUAGCUUGGUUACCUCGAAUGAAGUCUAGAACAGACCUAAUUUUAGCGACUACAAUAAAAUAGGUAAUUCUUCAUAUUAA